GACGAACGCUGGCGGCGUGCUUAACACAUGCAAGUCGAGCGGUAAGGCCCUUUCGGGGGUACACGAGCGGCGAACGGGUGAGUAACACGUGGGUGACCUGCCCUCAGCUCUGGGAUAAGCCUGGGAAACUGGGUCUAAUACUGGAUAUGACUCCACGGUGCAUGUCGUGGGGUGGAAAGCCUUGUGCGGCUGAGGAUGGGCCCGCGGCCUAUCAGCUUGUUGGUGGGGNGAUGGCCUACCAAGGCGACGACGGGUAGCCGGCCUGAGAGGGCGACCGGCCACACUGGGACUGAGACACGGUCCAGACACCUACGGGUGGCAGCAGUCGAAAAUUUUUCUCAAUGGGGAAACCCUGAAGGAGCGACGCCGCGUGGAGGAUGAAGGCUUUCGGUUGUAAACUCCUGUCAUUUGAGAACAAGGCUCCGAAUUUAACUGGGUUCGGGUUGAUAGUAUCAGAAGAGGAAGGGACGGCUAACUCUGUG
rnacentral:rRNA from 1 species